rnacentral:lncRNA from 1 species
AAGGUGUAGGAGCUCCUCCGGGACCAGGAGCACUUGAAGGUGUAGGAGCUCCUCCGGGGCCAGGAGCUGGUGAGGAUGACGGCACUGAUGCUGGUGUAGGUGCUGGACCCGCUGGUGUUUUUGGUGCUGGGGCUGGUGUUGCUGCUGCUGGUGUUUUUGCUGGCGCCGGGGCCGAAGUCGGUGGUGCAGGUGUAGUUGACGGUGUUGAUGCUGGCGGAGGUGUGGAUGAGGGUGGAGGUGUGGAUGCUGGUGGAGGUGUUGAUGGUGGCGAUGAUGCUGGUGGAGGGGUGGCUUUAGGAGCUGGAGCUGGAGCUGCACCACCUCCUGAAACGGAG